rnacentral:rRNA from 1 species
ACAAUAAAAUAACCAAUUGUCCGCCAAAUAACUACGAGUAAUAACUUAAAAUUUAAAAGACUUGACGGUACCCCACAACAACCUAGAGGAGCCUGUCUAAUAAAUGAUACUCCACGAUUAACCCUACCCACCAUAGCCCAACAGUCUAUAUACCGCCGUCGCCAGCCCACCUCAUGAGAGAACAAAAGUGAGCCAAAUAGCCCACACUAACACGACAGGUCAAGGUGUAACUAAUGGGUGGGACUAAGAUGGGCUACAUUUUCUUAACUAGAACAUACGAAUCAACUAUGAAAAAGAAACUGAAGGCGGAUUUAGCAGUAUAUUAAGAACAAAAUACUUAAUUGAAACUAACGCAAUGGGGUGCGCACACACCGCCCGUCAUCC